UACGAAGGGAUCUAGCGUUGUUCGGAUUUACUGGGCGUAAAGGGCGCGUAGGCGGUUAUGUAAGUAAGAUGUGAAAGCCCUGGGCUUAACCCGGGAACUGCAUUUUAAACUGCAUAGCUUGAGUGUUGGAGAGGUAAGUAGAAUUCCCAGUGUAGAGGUGAAAUUCGUAGAUAUUGGGAAGAACACCAGUGGCGAAGGCGGCAUCCUGGACCGACACUGACGCUGAGGAGCGAAAGCCAGGGGAGCAAACGGG
rnacentral:rRNA from 1 species